GACGAACGCUGGCGGUGUGCUUAACACAUGCAAGUCGAACGGUAAGGCCCUUCCGGUGGUGCGUGCUUGGCGAACGGGCGAGUAACACAUGCGUAACCUACCCUCACCUCUGGGAUAGCAAUCGGCAACGGUUGCGAACACAUAAUAUGUACUUGCAAGGCAUCCUGUGGGGGGGAUAGAUUUUUUCGGGUUGGGGGUGGGCUCUCGGCCUAUCACCUGGUUGGUGUGGGAGUGGCUCAUCAAACGUUCGACGGGUAGCCGGCCUGCGAGGGCGAGCGGCCACAUCGGGACUGAGAUACGGCCCAAAGUCCGACGGGGGGCAGCAGUGGGGAAGAUUGCACAAUAGACGGGAGUCUGAUGCAGCAGCGCCGCGUGCGGGAUGACGGCCUUCGGGUUGUAAACCGCUGUCAAUUGUGACGAAGCUUUUUUGUGACGGUAGCAGGAGAAGAAGCACCGGCUAACUACGUG
rnacentral:rRNA from 1 species